CCCGGCGGCGGUGAGGGCUAAGAGUGAAGAGCCGGUGGAGCCGGCUGGGAUGCUGGCCACUCGCCACGCAACCGUGGCUGGCGGGGCUUUGGAAGCUCCCAAGGCGCCACGGGCAGGCAGAUGAGCUGCAAGCAGGUGGGUCCCGCGUCGGAGGGAGCCUCUGUAUGAGAAGAAGAUAGGGCAGCGUCUCUAUCUCGGCAAUCCCCACCUUUUAGGGGCGAGAGGGAAGGGCAAGAGGAGGGAGAACUCGAGAGGGCGCUUCCCCUGUUCACUUCACCGCGCGCAAAGACGCACCGAGCACCCCGGGCUGGAGCCUCUCCAACCGCGCAUGGACGGAGGGAACCUCCUUUCCACCCCCGGCUGCUGAUUCACUUGCACAAGGGGGAGAUCCGUGGGAGGGAAAACCACAGGGGAAGUUGCUAGGCAGAGAGGGUAGGAGGAGGACCCUAACCGGCUGUGGAGUGUGUGUGUUUUUACUCGGAAGCAAGAACCGUUGUUCCGAGUUCGUGCGCGCAGAGGAGCGGGCUUCAAAGCUACGAUCCUUACUUGGAAGCAGCAGCGCUUGAGUGAGCGAGUGGUAGCAAACCUGAACCCCCUUUACUGAAAGGAAGCCCGGUGAUUUUAGCGGAGGCAUGGGAUCAUCAAACUAAAGCCUAAGCUAGAAAAAUCAAGACACACACCCCAUGCCUCCCUCCCUUGCUGUGCACAAGCCCCGUUACCAAACCCACCUUCUUCUCUUGCUGGUUACUGUGGUUUUAACAGGUAGACACCCCACUUUUGCACGCUUCCCCCUGCCUAAAUUGCAGGGUGGAAGGCUGCACCUGUUGACUUUCUCAUUGGCAUAGGUGUUGGAGGCGUAAAGCUGCUAUCAUGCGGAAAGGGGGCUGCCACAUCCUCUCGCUCAGCAACCCAGUUUCUUGUAACAAUGGUAUAACAAGCAGGGGAUUCAAUUGGUCUUGAUUUUUCCAAUACAGUAAUGGAAUAGUUGCACCUGUUGGAUAUCUGCCUUAUGCAGAUUUAAAAGCCUUAGAUCUUUUAACAGGGAAAUGGUUGGAAACCUAUCUCCAGUUUCUGCCAUAAAUAGCCCAUCUUCCAAAGGACUGUGAUUGCCUUGUUAUGUAGAGUCAUUUUCUUUGAAAUUUUGAUCUGGCAAUACUAUUUCCCACUUAUUCAUGCAUGUUUGUUUGUUUAAAUCUAGCUUAGAAGCAGGGUGGCUGCCAUAACACAUAACAGCAUCAGACCCAAUUGUUAAGCCUAUUAAGCAUUGGGUGGGAGGGGGAGAUGUCCACAUUUUAGUCCAAAAGGACCACACUUGUGGACGAAGCAGAACCCUUCCCACUUUUUUGCUUGCUGAGUUCACUUCAAUCCAUUUAAGUUAGAAGAUUGGAAUCAUAGAGUUGGAAAGGACCACGAGGAUCACUUUUGUGCAACAUGGGGCUGAAACUCAGGACCCUGAGAUUAAGAGUCGCAUGCUUUACUGACUGAACCAUCAUUUUAAUGGUGACAUUAAACGUAGUAGUUCAGAAAAUCAUACAGGCAUACAUUUGUUGCUGUGGGGUGUUGUUGUUUUUGCUGUCUUGUUGGAGUUACUCAGUCCAGGCAGCAGUGGAAAUCCAUUGGCUCAGGGGCUUAUUGAAGUCCUCUAAAUCUCUUUCUGGCCCUCAAUAUCAGUUCCUAUGCCAUUUUCACGUCUCUCAGCCUCUCCUCCUUCACUGGUCAUCCUCUGCACUCUUCUCAAGGGUUUUUGCAUGGUUGGAAUAUGCAUGUCAUUGACCUGUGAUGUAGUAUGGGAAAGUGCCCGAGGGCAAAGGGGGCCCCCAGUACGCAACUCAUCCCCAGCUGCCCAGUCCACCAGGAGGCACAACCCCCUGGGCACCGGCAACACACGCUACGACACUGAGCACAGCUGCUUUCAGCAAACAAAGGGCAUUUGCCCUGGCACUCCCUCACCCCAGAGAAACCCAAUCUUUAUGUCUGAAUAGGAAUAGCAUUCAGGUUUUCUGGGGGAAAUAAUAAUAAUAAUAAUAAUAAUAAUAAUAAUAAUAAUUUAUUAUUUAUACCCCGCCCAUCUGGCUGAGUUUCCCCAGCCACUGUGGAUGGCUCCCAAUCAAGUGUUAAAAACAGUACAGCGUUACAUAUUAAAAACUUCCCUGAACAGGGCUGCCUUAAGAUGUCUUCUGAAUGUCAGGUAAUUGUUUAUAUCUUUGACAUCUGAUGGGAGGGCGUUCCACAGGGCGGGCGCCACUACCGAGAAGGCCUACUGUCUGGUUCCCUGUAGCCUCACUUCUCGCAAUGAGGGAACCGCCAGAAGGCCCUCGGUGCUGGAUCUCAGUGUCCGGGCUAAAGGAUGGGAGUGGAGACGCUCCUUCAGGUAUACUGGACUGAGGCCGUUUAGGGCUUUAAAGGUCAGCACCAAUACUUUGAAUCAUGCUCGGAAACGUACUGGGAGCCAAUGCAGAUCUCUCAGAACCGGUGUUAUGUGGUCCCGGCGGCCACUCCCAGUCACCAGUCUAGCUGCUGAAGUCUGGAUUAAUUGCAGUUUUCGGGUCACCUUCAAAGGUAGCCCCACGUAGAGCGCAUUGCAGUAGUCCAAGCGGGAGAUAACUAGAGCAUGCACCACUCUGGCGAGACAGUCUGCGGGCAGGUAGGGUCUUAGCCUGUGUACCAGGUGGAGCUGGUAGACAGCUGCCCUGGACACAGAGUUAACCUGUGCCUCCAUGGACAGCUGUGAGUCCAAAAUGACUCCCAGGCUGCGCACCUGGUCCUUCAGGGUCACAGUUACCCCAUUCAGGACCAGGAAAUCCCCCACACCCACCUGUCCCCCAAAAAUAGUACUUCUGUCUUGUCAGGAUUCAACCUCAAUCUGUUAGCCACCAUCCAUCCUCCAACCGCCUCCAGGCACUCAGACAGGACCUUCACUGGUUCUGAUUUAAAGAAGAGGUAGAGCUGGGUGUCAUCUGCAUACUGAUCAACACCCAGUGCAAACCCCCUGAUGAUCUCUCCCAGCGGCUUCAUAUAGAUAUUAAAAAGCAUGGGGGAGAGGACGGAACCCUGAGGCACCCCACAAGUGAGAGCCCAGGGGUCUGAAUACUCAUCCCCCACCACCACUUUCUGGACACGUCUCAGGAGAAAGGAGUGGAACCACCGUAUAACAGUGCCCCCAGCUCCCAGCCCCUCUAGACGGUCCAGAAGGAUGUUAUGGUCGAUGGUGUCAAAGGCCGCUUAGAGAUCCAGCAGAACUAGGAAACAGCUCUCACCUUUGUCCCUAGCCCGACGGAGAUCAUCAACCAGCACGACCAAGGCAGUUUCAGUCCCAUGGUGAGGCCUGAAUCCCGAUUGGAAGGGAUCCAAAUGGUCCGCAUCCUCCAGGCGUGCUUGGAGUUGUUCGGCAACCACCCGCUCAAUCACCUUGCCCAAGAAUGGUAGAUUUGAGACUGGGCUAUAGUUGGCCAAAUUGGCUGGGUCUAAAGAUGUUUUUUUAAGAAGCGGUUUAAUGACCGCCUCUUUCAGCGGGUCUGGGAAGGCUCCCUCACAGAGGGAAGCAUUCACCACCCCGCAGAGCCCAUCGCCCAGCCCUUCCCGGCUUGCUUUUAUCAGCCAGGAUGGGCAAGGAUCAAGGAGACAGGUGGUCGGUUUCACUUGUCCAAGCAGCCUGUCCACAUCCUCGGAGGUAACAGAUUGGAACUGAUCCCAUGUAACAGGACCAGACAGAACUCUAGCACUCUCCCGCCCUGGCCCUGCUCCCACGGUGGAGUCUACCUCCUUCUGAAUCUGAGCAACUUUAUCUGCAAAAAAAUUUGCAAAAGCAUUGCAGGAGAUCUUGGGGUCCCUACCAGGCCCCGGUGGUACAGGUAGUUCCGAUAGAUUGCGAACCACCUGCAAAAGUCUCCUGCUGCUGUUUUCUGCAGAUGCAAUGGAGGCAGCGAAGAAGGCCCUCUUCGCCAUCGCCAUUGCCACUUGGUAGGCUCGAUGUCCGGUCUGAUUCAGAAUGAGUUUUCCACCACUGGCGCUCUAGCCGUCUCAACAAUUGUUUCAUCGCCCUCGGCUCCGAGGAAAACCACGGGGCUGUCCGGGCUCCAUGCAAUCGGAGAGGGCGCUUCGGAGCCACACAGUCAAUAGCCCUGGUUAACUCCGCAUUCCAGCGUGCCACCAGGGAAUCAGCUGAAAGCGGUGAGACAAAGGCAAAACUUUCGGAUAGUGUGGGGAAAGUGGGAAACGACUGCUUUCUAGGCAAUGGACAAACAGAAAGGUGGAUGAGCCCCAAGAUAGAACUUCAUGACUAAUGGCAUAACGUGGGGUGAGGCCACAGGUGCGGUUGCCCUGGGUGCAAAAUUUCAACACCCAGUGCUGCCUAAAUACAGCUGCAUACUUCUGUCACUGGGCUCUGUUGAAAAUGGCUUCUCUGUGUGACUUUCUAGAUAGCAGAGAGAAUCUUCUUCUCUUGUUUCUGAGGCUGUGAUCUCUUGGGUGAUGCGGACACUGUUAGGCAGCUCCAUAGUCCCCACCUCACCCCACACAUGGCCCCAGAUGCUCGCAACCCAUGCUAUACCACUGUGUAGGACAGUCUUUGCCAGCAUGGUCCUGCUAGCUGGGGAUGCUAGAAGUCAUAGCACAAAGCAUCCUCCAGAAGUCACAUUGAUGAUCAACACUGUAUUUGAACUGUGGAGGAGAUAGAUGUCCCUCCACAAACAAGCGCUCACAAAUAGAACUGGAAAUUUUUGCACAGAUCUCUAGUUAUAAUACAGGAAUCCUUCAGGCUGGCUAGCUCAGUAGAUAGAGCAUGAGAUUCUUAAUCCUAGGGUCCUGGGUUCGAGUUCCACAUUUGGUGAAAUAUUCCUGCCUUGCAGAGUGGUGCUUGGGUUUGUGGUCCCUUCCAGCUCUACAAUUCCAUUUUUCUAUGAUGGGGUGGGUGGGGUUGCACCUCCUAAAGCGUGUUGCCUGUUUGAACCAUUCCUGGCUGGCCAGCCCCCAUGCAACUAAAAAAAUAGCAGAAUCACAGAAUUUGUAGAACUGGAAGGGACCACAAGGGCCAUCUAGUCCAACCCCCUGCAAUGCAGGAAUAUUUUGCCCAACGUGGGGCUCGAGCAGAUAACCUUGAGAUUAAGAGUCUCAUGCUCUAGCGACUGAGCUGCCCCACAGAAACUCCAGGUUCAAAGUCCAUCCGACUUACCAUACGCAAGGAUGAGUGUAACAUAAUGGAAAUUAGGAAGAGUCUGAAAGGUCCAUCGAUUCCUGGAGGGAGAUCUGUUCUUCGGACAUCACGAUAAAUGAGCACCACCUGGGAAAGGAGGAAGCAGAUCACAAAUGUCAGCAUCACCAUGGAGAGAUCCAUCUUCCUUCCUGAGAAGCCUUGGAGGGACUGAAUAACCGGCUGAUUCCUGGCAACUAUUUUCUCUGCUGUCAUGCAAUUCCAACUUCUGUCGUCGCAAUUCUGUAGCAAUUGAUCACACCCUUGUUUUUCCAGGAAUUUCUUAUGCAAUACUAUUCUUUCUUCUGAAUAAAUAAAUAAAUGCAAUUAUGUGUUCAGUUAUGUAUGUAAAUGGUUUGUAUUGAACUUUCAAACUGCAUUGCAUUGCUUUUGCAUUGUGACACUAAAUCCUCUGGAUGAUUGGGAAGAUUCCAACAAACACACACCCCGGGCCCGCCUUGCAUCUGCCCAAUGCUAGGCUGAUGAAUUUUUUCCUCUUUUCCUUGUGGAAGAGUGGGGUGUGUGGAUCCUGCUGGCAGGCCAUCUCCUGGGUUGCCCCAAUGUCAAGGUUGCAGGUUCAAUCCCCAUAUGAGACAAGUGCAUAUUCCAGCAUUGCAGCGGUUGAACUAGAUGUUCCUCAAGGUCCCUUCCAAGUCUAUCCUGGCCCUUGUGCAUCCUUCCACACAUGUAGGGUCUUAGAAGGGCAGUGUAGGGAGAAUCUGCUGGCAGAGGUGGUUAUAGGGCAGCAAAACUGGUUCAGCUGCACUGGGAGUGCAAGAGGCAGGGGGCGCCGAAUUUUAGCAUUGCACAUGGUGCCGCUGAAAUUUGAGAGUCCCAAAUCUACCACUGCUGCUAGCGCAAGACACCAGGCCUAUUUCAAAUGGCCUACUUAGGGAUUUACACCAUUCUGAGCACGAUGUACUGACCAAAAGCGGAGAUCAAGCUUUUUGGGGGAAACAUUGUCCUUGGCCAUCUUUGUGUUUCUAUGCAAAUAAAUUUGAAACUUUUGUCAUCUUUGGAACCUAAGUUGUGCUGCCUUUCAUUUCUAGCUUCUGCUUGGAAAAUCUGUGAGAAUGUUAUUUGCCCCCAAAAUGGAAAGAUGAUGGAACCCCAACAAAAGAAGAAUGUAUACAAAACCUAUGGACUAUGCAGGAAUGGAAAAACUUACCGUAAGAAUAUGAAAUCAGGAUAGUAAACUUUUUAUAAAGGAAUGGAAAUGGUAUAUUGAAUAUUUGCAAACAAAUUGAAAACAGAAAAAAACAUUGGCAGGACUACUGUGACAAGCUGCAGUUUGAAAAAAAUACAGUGGUACUUCCAGUUGCGCACAGGAUACGUUCUGGAGCUCCGGUCGGAUCCCAAGAAAUUCACAACCGGAGGUGCUGUUUCUGCGUAUGCGCGCAGUGCGGCAGAGCACUGUAGAGCACUUCUGCACAUGCGCGCAUGGUGAAACCCAGAAAAAUACUUCUGGGUUUGCCGCGUUCGCAUCCUGAAGGAUACGCAACCAGAAGUGUGCGUAUCCAGAGGUACCACUGUAUAGAUAUAUGAAAAUGACUGCUCCCACAUAAAAUGGGGGCUCCUUUUGUGUGGUCGCACGCAGCCCCCUGGAUCCCAGUGUGACUCCUGGUAGUUUAGGCUGGUUUCAUACUCCCCAGGCUGGAUACCUGGAGGUCUCCUCCUACCUCAGCCAAUCGCCCAAUCCCACCUGGGGAGGCAUUGCCAGGGGAUUGGCCAGGUAAGAGGAGGGACCGUCCUGCCCACACAAUAGAAGGUGAAUCUUACCUGCGAAGCGGAAGUUGGCUCCACAGCUUCUCCCACCCUCCCCUCCCUCAGUUAAGUCUUAUUUUGCAGGUUAACCUCUUCUCCACAGGUACGCAGGCGCUGCUACAUCAGGGUCACUUUUGAAGGGCUGGAAAGGAAUUUUCCUGCCUUGGCAGGUUUUGCCUUCCCCGUAGCAAAACGUCACAACUUUGCUAGUUUCAGGCCUUGGGUGGAAUCCUUUAGUCUAUCUUCCUAAAUGGGGGGGGGGGCAUGAAGUUGUGACCCACACCCCCCUUGCGGUGGUGAUACCAGGGUUCCCCGUUAAAGGGGUCUUGAGGGGGAGGCAUUGGCCAUAUGCCGAGAGUUUGUCAUUGCUCUCCCCUCCAAAGGCAGUGAAAUGGGGGCGGGGGCUCUCUCUGCUUGAACAUAUGUUCUCCAGAGCAAGCCCAAUCCCCACACAUUCUGGAUAACCCUGAAGUCUCCCAGAUCCCUGGCUGGGGACUGGGAAGUAUAAACGCCCAAUGCCUGAGCCAAGGUCUCCCUACAUCUGAAACUUAAUAAAGUUGUGGCCAAUUUUAAUCCCAUAGCAUGUUGUCUUGAGUCAUUAUUCUGCUCAGGGGUCACCUCAUGUUGGGGGGACUCUGCCUGUCCACGCAAUAGAUGAAUAAAAGAAUGAUUUAAUAUAACUUAGAAUAUGCAGGGAAUGGUGAUUUAAAAAAUGAACCGCAGAAAGAGGAGGAAGGAAGUCGAGAUUUGAAAUGUCUGAAUUAUUGUUAAAUUACUAUUUUUUUAAAAAAUGAUAUUUAUUCCAAGUUUAAAGUUACAAAAAAAAACAAAAAAAAACAGUACAAAAUACAAAGAUAAAUUUAACCAUAGCCAUAACAGAGCAAAAAGUAAAAAGAAAAAAAGGACAAUAAAAACAGAACAAAAGAUAUAAAAAAGCAUUGAAUUAAAAUAGAACAAAAGCAAAUUAAACCUUUACAUAACUUUUUCCCUUUACUUAUUUCCUUGACCUCCUCUCACCUCCCAAUUUUGUAUUCUAGUUCAGAUCGUUUUUUUCAGCAAAUCCUUCCAACCUUAUUUUCAUUUACGUAUUUUAAUUUAAAAUAUUAUAAUUAAACAUCCUUUGUUUCAUCAAUUUCAUCAGCUCAUUUUUACUUAAUCCUUUAUCUCAUAUCUACCAAAACUGCCUAAUUUUCUUUUUCCAACAUCUUUCUAACAGUCUUUAAUAUUACAAUGCUUUUGAAGAUAUAUUUUAAAUUUUUUUCCAGUCCUCUUCCACCGACCCUAUUGUUAAAUUACUAUUGAAAUGUACAUAAAUGAAAACCAUUUUUAAAAAGAAAGAUCUUAAACCAGGCAUCCCCAAUCUGCAGCCCUCCAGAUGUUUUGGCCUACAACUCCCAUGAUCCCUAGCUAACAGGACAAGUGGUCUGGGAUUAUGGGAAUUGUAGUCCAAAACAACUGCAGGUCCAAAGGUUGGGGAUGCCUGUCAUAAACCAUUCUGAAUCUUAAAGUUUGCCUACACUGAUUUCAAAGUAACAAGUGGAAAGAACUGGAUUGUAUCAGCAGGGAAUAUAUCACAGAGACCUUGCCUUUCUGGGUGCUUCUACUUCUAGAUAUUCUGAAGGUUUCAGGGCUACAGUAGUUAUACAGUGCACAAGAGGGUCUUUUAAGAUGCUGAUAAAUUGGUGGGUACGAACCAAUCCAUUCCUGAAUCUUCCAAGUGUUCCAAGAGUUGUGAGCCUGUAAGUGACACAUUUUUUUCAUAACAGUCUUGCAGGCAAUGGAGUCCCACUUUGGAAAGAGUAGUAGAUAUUGAACCUAAAAUUGUGAUAUAUAAGGAAGCGGGACUAAGGGUGAGGGUAUGGAUGCUAGUUUCUUAUCAACUCUGCCACACCUCUAUAUGUGAAAGGGUUGCAUAAAAACUUCUAGAUUGACCUCAUUUGGGGCCAUGAGGGGAGGGAAGUGGAAUCUUGUUCCUCCAACACAACCCAAGACAUUAGCAAGUCUGUAGAAAUCAUAGGAAUGAUUUGCUGCAGGUGGAGGGAGUCAAAAUACAUUGGUAUGUGAUUGGACUCCCCAGCCUCCCAAACUGGUUUUCUAAUGCAACAGUGAGGAAGAUAGCCUGGACUAUCUGGAUUGAAAUAUAAGCCUAUUAAGAAGGUGUUGCCAAGAGGUAAGGCCGUUACACCAUCUUAACAAAACAAUGAGGUAAAGAUGGGACAUAUCCAACACAUGUCAUGAAUCCAGAGGAAGAGUAAUGUUUUUGGCAUGACCUGUGAAUAUAAGUUGCAUUCAAUUCAGUGGGCCUGAAAUGAACAGAUCCAAGUUAGUUGUUUUGUUUAACUUGAAUGGGUUUACACGGCACAGGAGCAAUGCUGGUUGCAAUUUUAUGAGAUGAGGAUUUGGUAAUGUAAGGUGUGUUCAUUUGUAACAGGUAAUUAGUGCUUUCCUUCUUGCUCUUGUCAGAUAAGCUAAAGGUCUACCUCCCACUCACCUUACAAGAGGCAGAAGAAGCAUAAGUUGCAAUGAAAGGGAAUGCGAUUGCACAGCUUUCCAAUGGCUUAGCCUCAUAGAAACCCUGCAGGGUAGGUUAGGCAGAUGGGGCUGUUAAUCAAGCACAUUAGAUCUAGUUCUCACACCCUUACAAUGAAAAGGUUUAGCAAACCUAUCGAACUGCGCAUCUGUAUAGAAGUAACACCAAUUAACAAACAAAUAUCCCAAUGAAGUAGAUAAAUGAAUAAGCAAAACUUAAAACCCACAGUUUCUCUUGCAAGACAAAGCAUUCUCCUUUUCAAUAAACAGGAAAAAAAAAUCCCUACCAUCAGUUACUGCUGAUAAAAAUAUUGGAAUAUUUGCACAGGUAUCUUAAAUUCCCUAGAAUUAUAAAUUUGGAUUGUUGUCCCAGAGUCUUUUGAACUGUCUAUUUAAAAAAUAAUAAUUGUUGUUAACAUCUCCCAAACACAAUCAUUCAUCUGUUGUAAGUAAACUUGAUUUCUUCCAGUGAUUUCAUUGAUCUGUAAUUAUUGAGGACUGUGAACUUAAACUAACAGCUGAACUGGAGAUAAAGAAAACAGAAAGUAUCAUACACCACAAUGUGUUUGAAAGUUUAUUUAUAUUUUAGAUUUCAUUAUUUGAAAUACACAAUAUUUUAAAAUGGCUAUCUGCAUUCCUAUUCCAUAUUCAAUUUUCCUCUCCCCCCCCUUUGCCUGAAAUGUCUUCCCCUUCUUGCACAGGUUGGUUCAGCUUUUUUUCUUUUUCUUUGUAUUUGUUAGAGAAAAUAUAUAAAAUAAAUAAGACGCUUGCAGCACAAGCAAUACACAUGUUUUUCAAGUAAAGGAUGGGAUAAAUUAUUGCUCUUAUUUAACUUGCAGUUUUACUUGCCCAGAAGCCCAUGCCACUAUCCUGCAGAUCACCCAGAAAUCUAAUACAGUAUAUCUUGAUCUACUUUGUAGAUCUCCUUCCUAUGUUCAGUCUUCUUUUGGUGUCAAUCAAAACUGCAGAAUAGAACUGCAUUAAACCUUACUUAUUCCUCAAUCAAUCAGCUUAUUAUGGUCAUAGACCAGCAGUUUAAAACUGGCUGAAAAUACAAUAAUUAUAACAACAAGAUACCAUAAUUAGUUAAACAACCCAGAAUAAAAGCAGGGAGGCAAGAAUCACUCACCAACUAGAGUUUUUACUAUUACUGAAACAAUACAAGUAAACCUUACUUAUUCCUGGUUUUUCCAGUUAAUCGUUUUAAACUAACUGGCUUUGAACUUGGCUACCUAUUUUGUUUUCCACUCACCAUUCCCUGAAUGGGGGCAGAUUCCAGGGAUGGCAGUACUUCAGUUAUGGGGUUUCUUUUGAAGGAGACCACUGGAGAGCUUUUCUUCUGUGCUUCAUCGCCCACUCAGAUGUUUCAUUUCCUACACCAUAACGUACGCUAAGAGAUGCUCAUCAAAGGGUUGUGGAACAACCAAGGGAGCUGCCUCUGGCAACCUUAGCACCUGACAGGGUCUGUAGGGAAGGAAACAGACUUUACGGUAUAGGGUUCCUGAGUCGUUUAGGGCUUUAAGCACUAACCUUAAGGCAGCCCUGUUCAGGGAAGUUUUUAAUAUGUAACGCUGUACUGUUUUUAACACUUGAUUGGGAGCCGCCCAGAGUGGCUGGGGAAACUCAGCCAGAUGGGCGGGGUAUAAAUAAUAAAUUAUUAUUAUUAUUAUUAUUAUUAUUAUUAUUAUUAUUACCUGAGCCCCCUGAAUCGAGCCCGGAAAUGAACUGGCUCUCAAAGCAGCUGUUUUAAAACUGGGGUUUUAUGUAAGGAAUAUCAAGGAAUAUUGCCUUUUAAGAUAAUGGAAUGUGUUGCUUUUUCAGACCUUGCGAAAGCUGCAACUGCUGAAAGAAUGCUGAGACUGAUAGGUCACAAGAUAACAGAUAACACAUAUUUAGCCAAAAUUCGUGGUUAAAAAGUUCGUAAGUCACAUAGCCUGUGGUUGGGACCUAGACACGAAGCCUGUUUGCACCUGUGAUUAGAACAGCUGGUGGUCAAAAUGUGGUUUGCCCUUUUAGCUUCAUAAGAUAUAAAACUCGGUUAUGCUUGCAUUUGAAACAAAUAGUGGUGUAACACGUGUAACUAGAACAACUUGUGUUUAGAAUACUUAUGUGAAUAGACAAAUGUUAAGGGACUUUUGACCAUAUUUGUACAAUGAUAAUCAUGGGGAUUGGGCGCCGAGGGUCUGGAGAGGGUGAGAUGUAAACAAAGGAGGAGAAUUUAGUAUUUUAUUGAGGCAGUCGUGAUAGGCUGUAACUUUUGCAGGCCCCUGCCCAGUGGGCAGGCAGAGGAAGGAACUUUGCGCUCCGUGAAAGGAUAAAUGCCUGCGUUGUACUGACCUGAGAUGUGCCUCCUUUGGACACCCAUUCUUGCAGCUAUGUUUUUGUAAUCAAUACAGUGGUGCCUCUCAAGACGAAAUUAAUCUGUUCCGCGAGUCUCUUCGUCUUACAGUUUUUUCGUCUUGCGAAGCAUGGCUAUUAGCGGCUUAGCGGCUAUUAGCGGCUUAGCGGCUAUUAACAGCUUAGCGGCUUUAAGAAAAAGGAAACAAACUCGCAAGAAAUCGCAAGACGUUUCGUCUUGCGAAGCAAGCCCAUAGGGAAAUUCGUCUUGCGGAACGACUCAAAAAACGGAAAACUCUUUUGUCUAGCGAGUUUUUCGUCUUGCGAGGCAUUCAUCUUGUGGGGCACCACUGUAAACUUUUGCUGCUUCACCAAUUUUACUCAGACUUUAUUUCAAAGGCCCUUGGGACCGGUUUUUAUAUCUCAUGUUUUAUGAGAUCUAAAUGGAACCCCAGUCAGUAAUCUGCUGUAACCAGAAGAGCCAGAGGCUAGGUGAAGCAAGGGUCCUAAGAGCUCAGUCUUAGAGUUUGUGUGCAGCAGGUUCGAAAUUCUGUCCCUGGCUAACCAUUAUUGGUUCCAAUGAACAGGAUUUAAGUUGUUCUGGGAUCAGGGGCAUAUGAAGGGGGGCGGUGGGGGCGGUCUGCCCCGGGUACCACUCGGGGGGUGACAUGAUGGCCCGCUGCCUCCCCCCCAGCUGUAGGGCGGCCGAGGGCAGUCCCUACGGGAUGCUGCACAUGCACAGUUCAUACAGAUGUCACAUGUGUGCUGCUGGGCGGUUUGCCCCGCCCCUUGGCGUCCCACCCCGGGUGCCAGAGAGGGUUCCUCCACCACUGUCUGGGAUAAGGCCAAGUUAGUCAAACCACAGCAUUGCAAUGGUAUACUUUGCACCCUUCCUUCCCCACUAUUUGUCAAUGAUGAACUGGACUGCAUUUCAAGGUGAUUUCAAGGUCCUUGAAAGUUUGACCUGUAGUGGAUCACAGGAGAAUGGGAUCAAACAUUCCCUCGCUUGUUGACCUGAUAUGGAGAGAGUUGAAAUACUAACUUGGGUUUGGUUAUAAGCCUCCCCAUGGUGGGUGAAAUGAAAUGAGUUCAGUUUACUCAACAGGUCUUACUUAUGUCACACGUGGAAUCAUUCUGCGCAAGUGCUCCUUCUUAUUGCUAAAUGUUUCACCUCUUGCAGAUGUGGUUGGAAUUUUGUUUUGACAGUUUCUGGAUUUCAGAAGAAGAGAGAGAGAGAAUCUGACAAUGUGUUCAAUACAGCCAUACCUUGGAAGUCAAACGGAAUCUGUUCCAGAAGUCUGUUCGACUUCCAAAACAUUUGGAAACCAAGGAAGCUCUUGCAGCCAAUCGGAAGCCACAGAAGCCGCGUCGGACAUUCGGGUUCCAAAGAACGUUCACAAACCGGGACACUCACUUCUGGGUUUGCGGCGUUCAGAAGCCAAAACAUUCAACUCGCAAGGCGUUUGGGAUCAAAGGUAUGUCUAUAUUCAUUAGGCUAUAAGUAAAGGUAAAGGUACCCCUGCCCGUACGGGCCAGUCGUGUCCGACUCUAGGGUUGUGCGCCCAUCUCACUUAAGAGUCCGGGGGCCAGCGCUGUCCGGAGACACUUCCGGGUCACGUGGCCAGCGUGAUGAAGCUGCUCUGGCGAGCCAGCACCAGUGCAGCACACGGAAACGCCAUUUACCUUCCCGCUAUAAAGCGGUACCUAUUUAUCUACUUGCACUUAGGGGUGCUUUCGAACUGCUAGGUGGGCAGGAGCUGGGACCGAAAGAUGGGAGCUCACCCCGCCACGGGGAUUCGAACUGCCGACCAUGCGAUCGGCAAGCCCUAGGCGCUGAGGUUUUACCCACAGUGCCACCUGCAUCCCCACUAGGCUAUAUCCAAUGUUAUAUCACAGCCAGGGAAGACCCACUGACAAAAAUGGAUAUGGGUAACUCAGGCCCAUUAAUUUCAAGGAGUCUACUCUGCUUAAAACUUAGCUAGCUGGCUGGCCACUACUGCAGCCCGUGUUUUGUUAGCCCAAAAAUGGAAAACAAGCGAGGCAACUUAAGCUGAUGGAAUAUUGUGCAGCUUUCAAACUUAACAUAUAGAAUAAAAGAACAAUAAGAACAUCUGUUUAGAGAAGAUUGGAACAUGUUUAUUGAAUAUAUAGGAGGGUUGUGUACACUUAGAAACGUUGCCAGCAUUAAGAUGAAUUCAACAGUGUAAAUAAGUUUUGAUGGAUGUAAUUAUGGAAUACUGAAUGGUUUAGUUUAUGUAAAAAAUGCAGAGAUUUCUGAUAUGCAAAAUGAACCUUGGAAAGAGAAGAAGGUGGAGUCAUUGAUAUUUUAAGGAUGUUUAAAUGAGUAUUCUAAAUUGUAAAUUUUAUAUAUAUAUAUGAAUGAACUUAAAUGCCUACAUCCCACUAGAUGGCCCACCAGGGGCCAUCAAUGGGUCCAACAGCAGAGGAAGACAAAGAGGAAGAAGUUUUCCUCUUCUCUCUCACUAACACUAUCAGGGGCAUCCUAUGACGCUCUGUGUUGGGAGAUUCAGGACAGACAAAAGAAAGUAGAAAGGAAAGAGCAUUAUUGAUUAAAAUAAAGCAGGCAUAGCUUAAGUUGUCAUCAAACCAGUUCGCAAAGACCCUCGUGGCCAGAUAGAAUUCCUAAGCAUUUGUUACUUACUGGUUUGAGAAGGAAGUAUGCAGUUAACUUGUGAAGCUGGCUACUGCAAGGGGUAGUGGUCAGGAACAUGGAUGUACUUAAAAGAGGAUUAGACAAAUUCAUGAAAGAGAAGGCUAAGUUCUUCCUCUACAGUUAAAGGCAGCAUGCUUCCAAAUGUCAGCUGCAAUGACCUUUCUCAGGCACUGCUUGUGGGUGUCCCAAGAGGCAUCUGUCAGGAAUGAGCCAGCUCCCAGUGUAACUUUGCAUCCGGCUGCUGAAUACAGUCAGGAACAGAGAAGUUUGGAGUCAAUGCCGGCUGAGCAGAGCACACAGCUGCCAGCAUCAACUCCCUCUAACCUUGGACGUCCAGUUGCCAAGGGAACAACUGAGAGCGGGCUGGAAAACAGCCAAAGGUCUCAGGAAGCUCAAAAAGGCUUGAACAGCCACACAGUUUUUUGGAAUAGGAAGAGGCUGUAGCUGACAAAAAAGUCCAAGGCAGAGGCGAAUUGGGGGGCUGCUAGACAGGAAGCAAAAUAAGAGACGUAAAGGUCGAAAGUUCAAUAUCUUCUGUCGACACCAGAAGGAAUCUUCAGAAGGGUCAUCUUGAGUGAUAAUGCCGGUGGCUUGGCUAGAGCCAUCCAGAGUUAUCUGUUUGUAUUUACAAUAAAUCCUCCUUUUUAAUUACCUACACUUACUGUGUUAUCAAGCUGGGAACCUGGACUCUUGACAGCAUCUACCUGGUCAUUUUUGAGAACAGUAUGCUAGACUAGGUGUGGCCAUUGGCCUGAAUCUGAAGGCUUUUCUUAUGUCCAGCACACUGACUUUAAUAAAUUAGACUGUGCCAAACAUUUGAUCUGACUUUCAGUUUUUUUAAUGUUAUGAUUGGGAGAGCAGGGCAUGAAAAAGAAUAUGCCUGCACAGAAGGGGAAGACUACCAGCGCAGGACAAAACGGGC